UACGUAGGGUGCGAGCGUUAAUCGGAAUUACUGGGCGUAAAGCGUGCGCAGGCGGUGAUGUAAGACAGGUGUGAAAUCCCCGGGCUUAACCUGGGAACUGCAUUUGUGACUGCAUCGCUGGAGUGCGGCAGAGGGGGAUGGAAUUCCGCGUGUAGCGGUGAAAUGCGCAGAUAUCAGGAAGAACACCUAUGGCGAAGGCAGCUCUCUGGGACGGUACUGACGCUGAGACGCGAAAGCGUGGGGAGCGAACAGG
rnacentral:rRNA from 1 species